GACGAACGCUGGCCGCGUGCUUAGCACAUGCAAGUCGAACGGAAAGGCCCUGCUUUUGUGGGGUGCUCGAGUGGCGAACGGGUGAGUAACACGUGAGUAACCUGCCCUUGACUUUGGGAUAACGUCAGGAAACUGGGGCUAAUACCGGAUAGGAGCUCCUGCUGCAUGGUGGGGGUUGGAAAGUUUCGGCGGUUGGGGAUGGACUCGCGGCUUAUCAGCUUGUUGGUGGGGUAGUGGCUUACCAAGGCUUUGACGGGUAGCCGGCCUGAGAGGGUGACCGGCCACAUUGGGACUGAGAUACGGCCCAGACUCCUACGGGAGGCAGCAGUGGGGAAUAUUGCACAAUGGGCGGAAGCCUGAUGCAGCAACGCCGCGUGCGGGAUGACGGCCUUCGGGUUGUAAACCGCUUUCGCCUGUGACGAAGCGUGAGUGACGGUAAUGGGUAAAGAAGCACCGGCUAGCUACGUG
rnacentral:rRNA from 1 species